rnacentral:rRNA from 1 species
AACGAACGUUGGCGGCGUGGAUUAGGCAUGCAAGUCGAGCGAGAACCGGUUUCGGCCGGGGACAGCGGCGAACGGCGUAGUAAUGCAUCGGAACGUACCCUCUGGUCGGGGAUAGCUACGGGAAACUGUAGGUAAUACCCGAUGAUCUCUGCGGAGCAAAGGUGAGAUUCCGCCGGAGGAGCGGCUGAUGUGAUCUUAGCUAGUUGGUGGGGUAAUGGCCUACCAAGGCGAUGAUGUCUAGGGGGUGUGAGAGCAUGGCCCCCACGACCGGAACUGAGAUACUGUCCGGACACCUACGGGUGGCUGCAGUCGAGAAUCUUCCGCAAUGGACGAAAGUCUGACGGAGCGACGCCGCGUGCGGGAUGAAGGCCCUUGGGUUGUAAACCGCUGUCAGAGGGGAUGAAAUCUUCGGAGGUACUCCUCCGAAGUUGACAGAGCCUCAAAGGAAGCACGGGCUAAGUACGUGCCAGCAGCCGCCGUAACAC